UUGAACGGGAAGAACCUUACCAAGGCUUGACAUACACCGGAAACAUCCAGAGAUGGGUGCCCCCUUGUGGUCGGUGUACAGGUGGUGCAUGGCUGUCGUCAGCUCGUGUCGUGACGAUGUUGGGUUAAGUCCCGCAACGAGCGCAACCCUUGUCCCGUGUUGCCAGCAGGCCCUUGUGGUGCUGGGGACUCACGGGAGACCGCCGGGGUCAACUCGGAGGAAGGUGGGGACGACGUCAAGUCAUCAUGCCCCUUAUGUCUUGGGCUGCACACGUGCUUCAAUGGCCGGUACAAUGAGCUGCGAUACCGUGAGGUGGAGCGAAUCUCAAAAAGCCGGUCUCAGUUCGGAUUGGGGUCUGCAACUCGACCCCAUGAAGUCGGAGUCGCGUAGUAAUCGCAGAUCAGCAUUGCUGCGGUGAAUACGUUCCCGGGUCUUGUACACACGCAA
rnacentral:rRNA from 1 species